rnacentral:rRNA from 1 species
GACAGAGGAGCCAAGCGUUGUCCGGAUUGACUGGGCGUAAAGCGCACGCAGGUGGUUGCGGGCGUCGGUGCUGAAAGUUCGCCGCUUAACGGCGAAUCGUGUGCCGAUACGCCGCAACUCGAGCCCGAGAGAGGUCCGUGGAAUUGCCGGUGUAGUGGUGAAAUGCGUAGAGAUCGGCAGGAACACCCAGGGGGAAGCCAGCGGACUGGCUCGGAGCUGACACUGAGGUGCGACAGCGUGGGGAGCGAACCGG